GGCCAGACUCCUACGGGAGGCAGCAGUGGGGAAUAUUGGGCAAUGGGCGAAAGCCUGACCCAGCAAUGCCGCGUGAAUGAAGAAGGUCUUAGGAUUGUAAAAUUCUGUCCUAUGGGAAGAAACAAAUGACGGUACCAUAGGAGGAAGCCCCGGCUAACUACGUGCCAGCAGCCGCGGUAAUACGUAGGGGGCGAGCGUUAUCCGGAUUCACUGGGUGUAAAGGGAGCGUAGACGGCCAAGCAAGCCAGGGGUGAAAGCCCGGGGCCCAACCCCGGGACUGCCCUUGGAACUGCAUGGCUGGAGUGCGGGAGGGGCAGGCGGAAUUCCUGGUGUAGCGGUGAAAUGCGUAGAUAUCAGGAGGAACACCGGUGGCGAAGGCGGCCUGCUGGACUGUAACUGACGUUGAGGCUCGAAAGCGUGGGGAGCAAACAGGAUUAGAUACCCGUGUAGG
rnacentral:rRNA from 1 species